rnacentral:rRNA from 1 species
GACGAACGCUGGCGGCGUGCUUAACACAUGCAAGUCGAACGGGAUAAUUUGAGAGCUUGCUCUUAGAGAAUCUAGUGGCAAACGGGUGAGUAACACGUAGACAACCUGCCGACAGGAUGGGGACAACAUUCCGAAAGGAAUGCUAAUACCGAAUGAAGCGGGGGAGAGGCAUCUCUCCUCCGUGAAAGAUGGCCUCUGAAUAUGCUAUCACGUGUCGAUGGGUCUGCGUCUGAUUAGCUAGUUGGUGAGGUAACGGCUCACCAAGGCGACGAUCAGUAGCCGGUCUGAGAGGAUGAACGGCCACAUUGGGACUGAGACACGGCCCAGACUCCUACGGGAGGCAGCAGUGGGGAAUCUUCCGCAAUGGGCGCAAGCCUGACGGAGCAACGCCGCGUGAGUGAAGAAGGUCUUCGGAUCGUAAAGCUCUGUUGACGGGGACGAACGUGCGAAGGGUGAAUAAUCCUUUGUAAUGACGGUACCUGUCGAGGAAGCCACGGCUAACUACGUG